AUUGAACGCUGGCGGCAGGCCUAACACAUGCAAGUCGAACGGGUGGCGGACGGGUGAGUAAUGUCUGGGAAACUGCGCGAUGUACGGGGAUAACUACUGGAAACGGUAGAUAAUACCGCAUACGGUCCGUUGGGCCCAGAUGGGAUUAGCUAGUAGGGGUGGUAACGGCUCACCUAGGCGACGAUCCCUACCUGGUCUGAGAGGAUGACCAGCCACACUGGAACUGAGACACGGUCCAGACUCCUACGGGAGGCAGCAGUGGGGAAUAUUGCACAAUGGGCGCAAGCCUGAUACAGCCAUGCCGCGUGUAUGAAGAAGGCCUUCGGGUUGUAAAGUACUUUCAGCGAGGAGGCGUUACUCGCAGAAGAAGCACCGGCUAACUCCGUGCCAGCAGCCGCGGUAAUAC
rnacentral:rRNA from 1 species